rnacentral:rRNA from 1 species
UACCGAGGGGGCAAGCGUUGUUCGGAAUUACUGGGCGUAAAGGGCGCGUAGGCGGCCUUCUAAGUCGAACGUGAAAUCCCCGGGCUCAACCCGGGAACUGCGUCCGAUACUGGAAGGCUUGAAUCCGGGAGAGGGAUGUGGAAUUCCAGGUGUAGCGGUGAAAUGCGUAGAUAUCUGGAGGAACACCGGUGGCGAAGGCGACAUCCUGGACCGGUAUUGACGCUGAGGCGCGAAAGCCAGGGGAGCAAACGGG